rnacentral:rRNA from 1 species
GAACGCUAGCGGCAGGCCUAAUACAUGCAAGUCGAACGGGAUCCAGGUGUUAGCUUGCUAACAUCUGGUGAGAGUGGCGCACGGGUGCGUAACGCGUGAGCAACCUACCCAUAUCAGGGGGAUAGCCCGAAGAAAUUCGGAUUAACACCGCAUAAGACUACGAGAUGGCAUCAUCAAGUAGUUAAAUAUUUAUAGGAUAUGGAUGGGCUCGCGUGACAUUAGCUAGUUGGUGAGGUAACGGCUCACCAAGGCGACGAUGUCUAGGGGCUCUGAGAGGAGAAUCCCCCACACUGGUACUGAGACACGGACCAGACUCCUACGGGAGGCAGCAGUAAGGAAUAUUGGUCAAUGGACGGAAGUCUGAACCAGCCAUGCCGCGUGCAGGAUGACUGCCCUAUGGGUUGUAAACUGCUUUUGUCGAGGAAUAAACCUAUCUACGUGUAGAUAGCUGAAUGUACUCGAAGAAUAAGGAUCGGCUAACUCCGUGCCAGCAGCCGCGGUAAUACGGAGGAUCCGAGCGUUAUCCGGAUUUAUUGGGUUUAAAGGGUGCGUAGGCGGCACUUUAAGUCAGGGGUGAAAGACGGCAGCUUAACUGUCGCAGUGCCUUUGAUACUGAAGUGCUUGAAUGCGGUUGAAGACGGCGGAAUGAGACAAGUAGCGGUGAAAUGCAUAGAUAUGUCUCAGAACACCGAUUGCGAAGGCAGCUGUCUAAGCCGUUAUUGACGCUGAUGCACGAAAGCGUGGGGAUCGAACAGGAUUAGAUACCCUGGUAGUCCACGCCCUAAACGAUGAUAACUCGAUGUUUGCGAUAUACCGUAAGCGUCCAAGCGAAAGCGUUAAGUUAUCCACCUGGGGAGUACGCCCGCAAGGGG